GCUUCCAUGGCGCAGCGGGGAGUUUAUGAAGACAGAGAGGCGAAGAUAAAGAGACUGAAACUUUCUAAAGUAUUUCAGCCAAAAUAACCCAAAGAAACGAGCUGGACGCUACAGAGCAGAGUCGUGGUUUCACACCAGCACUACGGUGAAACGCCCUGCAGCCGUGAUGAGCAGCGUUAUUCCGCAAUGGAGUGUGUAUGAGAAGAGGUUCAUGCUCCCCUCAGAUGGCCGAGGUCUUCACAGACAGCAUUCACAUGUUUCUCAACCACAUGUUAUAAAUGUUUCUGACUUCCAGAGUGAUAACUUCUGAAACAUAACAGCUUCUAAUGCUGUCCAAAACGUUCUUAUUUAAUUGAAAUUUUUUUAUUGUGAUUGUGUAUUAAUGUUUCAAAUAUAUUUAAUUAAACUAUCAAGCUUAAGUUUCA